UGUGGCCAUCCUCUAUGGAGAGUGCUUUCUCACUUCUCUCUCUUUCUUCCUCUGGACCUUUGGCAGGUGAACUGGAGGAGUGACCUUAUGGAAGAGACCCAAGAGAGACCCUCUCCCCUUCCUUCUACUAUGUGAGGACACAACAAGAAGAUGAAGAUAUACGAACCAGGAAACUGGCCCUCCCCAGAUCCAAAUCUGCAGGCAUUGAAUGUCUUAACCGCCACUCUGCCUUAACCACCAUGCCACUGGCUGGCCCAAGGAGUCUAAUGACAUGCAGGACAAAAUCCCCUUGUGACGCUGGACAGUGCAGUGAGCCACAGCUCCCAGUCAGCUGUGGGAUCAUGAGGAUGAACAACCAAUACUAUACAGUGGGCCAAAUUUGGCCCCUGUCAGUACAAUGUCCUGUGGGCUGGACAAAUGUGGAAAAUGGUCAGUCUCUAUGGCCUACAUUAUGGCUGAGAUCCAGGCAUUUGUGUCAUCCCAAGGCACAACCUCGUGAAAGCUAUGUGGCAAGCCGAUGGGCAGCUACGAAAGGUAGGCCUCAUCUAAUCUUAGAGUCCUUCCAAGCUGAGAGGUUUCUCCGCCUGGUACAAGUCAGAGACGUCACCUCAGCAUGCUAGCGCCGGUUUGGCGAUAGGAGGGGCCACAGGAAGAAGUGACUUCUAGGA